UACGGAGGGAGCAAGCGUUGUUCGGAUUUACUGGGCGUAAAGGGCGCGUAGGCGGCAGAUUAAGUCAGCUGUGAAAUCUCCGAGCUUAACUCGGAACUGUCAGCUGAUACUGUUUUGCUAGAGUGCGGAAGGGGCAAUCGGAAUUCUUGGUGUAGCGGUGAAAUGCGUAGAUAUCAAGAGGAACACCUGAGGUGAAGACGGGUUGCUGGGCCGACACUGACGCUGAGUGCGCGAAAGCCAGGGGAGCAAACAGG
rnacentral:rRNA from 1 species